GCCUAAGGAUUCGUCCACACAAGUAGUAUAGGUUGUAGUUAUACAAGGAUUAUGUUUUAUCUUUGUUAUCCUAUGACGGAAACUAGCGAAAGGAAAGAGGGAAAUCUGCUUCACUUCGUUUUUUUCACUCUCUUGUCAAACCAAAAAACUUCUCUUCCUUCCUCUAGUUUCCAAUCAAAGCUUUAUUGAAUCCAGAUGCAUUAAACUGUGAAGAAAUAGCAAUCAAAGGCAGCAGCAGAAGUGGUUCAAAUAGCACUUACAGGAUACAGAACCAUGCAAACCGUUUUCAAUUUUGGCAAAAGCUCUAUGAAACUGACCAGUGAAGAACAAAAAGUUAAACA
rnacentral:misc_RNA from 1 species